rnacentral:lncRNA from 1 species
GGGGAAGGGAGGAUGUUCAGGGAAACCCUAUUGGAAACUAAAGAUUUAAAAGUCUCCUCAAAGAAAAAUAUUUUGGUGAAUGAUUUGAAAAAAGGAGACAGCUGAGGCAUGCUGACUUGCCUGGUUGAGGGAGGAAUUUGAAGCUGAGCAGACUGGGUGAAGUACUAAGGGGAUGACAGAAGGAGAGAGAGGCAGAACAGAAAAGUGAUGUCUCAGGAUUUGAAGAUGGACUGUACUGGGUCAAGGGGUUGAACGGACCUUUUUCAUUUUUUUCUGGACUUCAGAGUCUGAACUUCCCUCAGGAGUGGAAAAAAACCUACUUUGCCAUUUAUCUCUCAAAAGCCCACAUGCUGAAGAGCCAGGCUAUCUACAUCACAAAGCAGAACAAACUUAUUAAAAUUCAUGAUAAGGUACAUUAGCUACAAAGGGAACUGUGGUGGCCAAGAUUCGCCAGUCCCCUAGAUGCUUGACUGUUUUUGGUACCUACAUCUUCAGAUAUAUUAGGUAUCAAAAACUGGAUUCAAACCUCCAUAAAACAAACAAGAAAUUUGUUGAAGUGCUUUUAUAGAUGUGAAAGCAAUGAAUGCUUGAUCACACUUGAGAGUUAUGUGAAAUAUCAUUAUUUAUCAUGUAUUAACUAGUCAGGAAAGAAAACAGGGCUGUGAGUCUCUUUGCUGAGGACCAAACAUACUCUCAUUGCAGGAGGUGCCUGAGUGAGGUUCUGGUUCUACAAGCAACCUAUAUAGACAGUCAUUGGGGAAACUUCCUCUGUAGCUUCUUAUUAAACAGCUACAGUAGCCUGAUUAAAAUGGUCAAUUUUCCUGCUAACCAUGCUACUAUCAUGUAUUGAGGAAAGUAGAAAAAUAUUUGUCAACUAAACAAAAAAGCUUGAAGCAAAACAUAUAUAUGGAAUAGUCUUUGAAUGAGUGUUUGCAAAAUAACAUGUUGGAUGUUCACUUCUCUUUGCAAAUGGAGUAUCACAGAUUGAGAGAUAGCCAUAUAUAAGGUGGGAUACAGUUGUGCAAACUUUAAAGUGAAGAGCUUUGUAACGUAAUUUGUAUGAUCUUUUGUUAAAUUAACAAAUAAAGAAUAGAUUAGAGACUGCA